AAUCCCCAUUUCCCAUUAUAAAAAUCCCCAUUUUUCCCCCAAAAUGCACAUUUUUAUUUCUCAAAACCCCCCAUUUUCCCCCAAAUCCCCAUUUUCCAUUAUAAAAAUCCCCAUUUUCCCCCAAAAUCCCCAUUUUUCAUUCUGAAAAUCCCCAUUUUUCCCCCAAAUCCCCAUUUUUCAUUCUGAAAAUCCCCAUUUUCCCCCAAAUCUCCAUUUUUUACUCUCAAAAAUCCCCAUUUUUACCCAAAAUCUCCAUUUUUAUUUCCCAAAACUCGCAAUUUUUACCCCAAAUCUUCAUUUUUUCAUUCUCAAAAUCCCCAUUUUUGCCCCAAAUCCCCAUUUUUCCAUUAUAAAAAACCACCAUUUUCCCCCAAAAUGCACAUUUUUAUUUCUCAAAACCCCCAUUUUCCCACAAAAUCCCCAUUUUUCAUUCUCAAAAGUCUCAUUUUUACCCAAAAUCCCCAUUUUUCAUUCUCAAAAAUCCCCAUUUUUGCCCCAAAUCCCCAUUUUUCAUUCUGAAAAUCCCCAUUUUCCCCCAAAAUGCACAUUUUUAUUUCUCAAAACCCCCAUUUUUACCUAAACCCCCAUUUUUCCUGUCCCCCAAUUUCCCAUUUUGGCCCCAAAUCUCCGUUUUUUACUCUCAAAAAUCCCCAUUUUUCUCCCAAAUCUCCAUUUUUAUUUCCCAAAACUCGCAAUUUUUACCCCAGAUCUCCAUUUUUCAUUCACAAAAAUCCCCAUUUUCCCCCAAAAUGCACAUUUUUAUUUCCCAAAAAUCUCCAUUUUGCCCCAAAUCCCCAUUUUCCAUUAUAAAAAUCCCCAUUUUUCCCCCAAAUCCCCAUUUUUCAUUCCCAAAAUCCCCAUUUUUGCCCCAAAUUUCCAUUUUUUACUCUCAAAAAUCCCCAUUUUUCUCCCAAAUCUCCAUUUUUAUUUCCCAAAACUCGCAAUUUUUACCCCAAAUCUCCAUUUUUUCAUUCUCAAAAUCCCCAUUUUCGCCCCAAAUCCCCAUUUUUCCAUUAUAAAA
rnacentral:lncRNA from 1 species